rnacentral:misc_RNA from 1 species
GAAAUGCGAUAAGUAAUGUGAAUUGCAGAAUUCAGUGAAUCAUCGAAUCUUUGAACGCACAUUGCGCCCGCCAGUAUUCUGGCGGGCAUGCCUGUUCGAGCGUCAUUACAACCCUCAGGCCCCCGGGCCUGGCGUUGGGGAUCGGCGGAAGCCCCCUGCGGGCACAACGCCGUCCCCCAAAUACAGUGGCGGUCCCGCCGCAGCUUCCAUUGCGUAGUAGCUAACACCUCGCAACUGGAGAGCGGCGCGGCCACGCCGUAAAACACCCAACUUCUGAAUGUUGACCCCGCAUCAGCUAGGAAUACCCGCUGAACUUAAGC